GCCUUCGUGGUGUAGUGGUCAGCACGCUCGACGAGUAACCGAGAGGCGAGAGGUCCGUGGUUCGAUUCCCGGCGAAGGCG
rnacentral:tRNA from 1 species